rnacentral:rRNA from 1 species
GUCUUUUUGAGUUUAAUUUAAAGUCUAAUCUGCCCACUGAUGAAAAUUUAAGGGCCGCAGUAUUUUGACUGUGCAAAGGUAGCAUAAUCAUUAGUCUUUUAAUUGAAGGCUUGUAUGAAUGAUUGAACGAGAUAUAAGCUGUCUCAUAUAAAAUUUAAAUAGAAUUUUAUUUUUUAGUUAAAAAGCUAAAAUGUAUUUAAAAGACGAGAAGACCCUAUAGAUCUUUAUAAUUUUAUUAUAUAUUUUUUUAGGUUAUUUUUUGAAUCUAUAAAUAAAAUUAUUUUGUUGGGGUGACAAUGAAAUUUAAUAAACUUUCAUAAUUUUAUUACAUUAAUUUAUGAUUUUUUGAUCCACUAUUAGUGAUUAAAAAUUUAAGUUACCUUAGGGAUAACAGCGUAAUUAUUUUGGAGAGUUCUUAUCGAUAAAAUAGUUUGCGACCUCGAUGUUGGAUUAAGAUUAAUUUUAGGUGUAGCCGCUUAAAAUAUUAAGUCUGUUCGACUUUUAAUUUCUU